rnacentral:rRNA from 1 species
UAAUACAGAGGGUGCGAGCGUUAAUCGGAUUUACUGGGCGUAAAGGGCGCGUAGGCGGUUAGUUAAGAUAGCUGUGAAAUCCCUGGGCUUAACCUAGGAACUGCAGCUGUGACUGGCUAGCUAGAGUACUGUAGAGGGUAGUGGAAUUUCCGGUGUAGCGGUGAAAUGCGUAGAGAUCGGAAGGAACACCAGUGGCGAAGGCGGCUACCUGGACAGAUACUGACGCUGAGGCGCGAGAGCGUGGGGAGCAAACAGGAUUAGAUACCCUGGUAGUCCACGCUGUAAACGAUGAAGACUAGAUGUUGGGCAGCUUGACUGUUUAGUAUCGAAGCUAACGCGAUAAGUCUUCCGCCUGGGGAGUACGGUCGCAAGAUUA